CGGAAGGGCACCACCAGGCGUUAACUUAGCAGCAAGCUCAGCGCCUCAAAGUCGAAGGGAAACCUUUGGCUAGUAUCUGGGUGUAGAUUUCACCUAAGUGCAACACUGUUCAAAUUGCGGGAAAGCCCUAAAGCUUUGCUAACCAAGCUGUCCUAGAAAUGGGAUGGUGGCCAGGUGAAAGACCUUGGGUACGGUAAAAUCAGCAAAGAUGCAACAAUGGGCAAUCCGCAGCCAAGCUCCUACGGGCUGUCAAAGCCUAUGGAGAAGGUUCAGAGACUAAAUGGCAGUGGGCAAGCAUGGCAAUGCUUGCUUAAGAUAUAGUCCGUCCCAGCUGAGAAGCUGCCUAUGAGAGGAAUGCCGUAAGGCAGGAGAGCUAAUAGGAAGUAAGUGUCUUUAAUCAACUUACUUGGAUUCCACGGGAGC
rnacentral:ncRNA from 9 species